ACUGUCAGCUACUGUUAUCAGUUGUCAGAGUGAAGAUGUCUUCCAGGAUGGAAUUUUUUAAAAAAUGUUUUCACUGUCUUGGGAGAGGGGAAAAAGCCUGCAACAAGCAGCAACCCAGGAGCUGGUGUUCCAAAUUCUAUGGCAGGAACAAUAUGCAGACUGAAGGACACCCCCAAGGCCCCUAGGAGAACAAAACGUAAAAUUUGUGACCGAUAUGGAAAUCCAAAAAGUGGAAUGGUGUGCCCAGGGAAAAAGAAGCUCUUCUUCAUUAAAACAGAAACCCAUCAAGCACGUAAGGCCCAACAUGAGACUGCCUGUGCCAGAAGAGACCUGCGGUAAGCCAAAAUUUUGACAAAGAGGUCCAUGAGAGCAGCCAAAAAAGUUCUGUUGGAGGACAACCAGUUAAACAGCAACACUGCAGGACUAGCUGUAUUGCUAUGUCAAUCUCUGGUUUUGGUAGUGAGUAUGGAAAAUCUGUUUGCAAUACUCAAAGAGUAAGAAGAGGGAGAAUAAAAAUCAGAAGAAGUAAAACAUGACUUCAUCUAUUAGAACAGUUAUACCUCCUAGGUCAGAAGGCGUUUCAGUCACUCACACCCUGGACAGCUUGCAAUUUGACUACUACAGCAAUCUCCACAUAGGGCUGCUCUUGAAUACGACCUGGAAGCUUCAGUUGGACCAUGGCCAAUUUAGCUGUCGACUUUGGAUUCUCUGCUUCUUUUCCUUCUUGUUUCCUGUCAGGAUCUCUUGGAAAAGACAAUAUUUUAAGCAGUUUCACUGUAGAACUAGCUGCAUUGCUCACAAUAGAUGACAUCAGUUCAGCCUUUUGUUUCUUUCGUAAUCAGUAAGGAAAAUUCGUCUACGCUACUCAGCGAAUAAGAAGAGGGAGGCCUUUCAGAAAGUCACUCACACCCUUUACCUUGACUACCACAACCACGUCACAUAGGGCUGGCCUUUUUUUUUUUUUUAAAUUGAAAAGACAGUGCCAUGUCAGGAUAACAAUGCAAAUAAAGUACAACCAGAGAGAGAUCCAUGAUAAAUAACAUACAUGCUAAUAACUAUAACUGUACUAUGUUAACGGUAAUUGCAACAAUACAACAACAACAAAACCAAAAGAAAAUAAAAUAAAACUUCAACUAA